AUUGGCCAAUUCCCGUAGGUUUCCCUCAGAACUGCAAGACGCCGAUAUUGCGUUACAUGGUAGCAAAAUGGCGGCUGUCAUUCAGAACCCACUAAAAGCGUUGGGCGACCAAUUCUAUAAGGAGGCCAUCGAGCAGUGUCGCAGCUACAAUGCCCGCCUGUGUGCUGAACGCAGCGUCCGCCUGCCAUUCCUCGACUCACAAACCGGUGUGGCCCAGAACAACUGCUACAUCUGGAUGGAGCGGCACCACCGUAGCCCUGGGGUUUCAGCUGGGCAGAUGUACACGUACCCCGCCCGCUGCUGGAGAAAGAAAAGACGGCUGCACAAUGCCACGGAUCCCCGCCUGGGCAUCUAUGGUCUGCAGCUCGACGGCAGCCUCAUGUCCAAGGACACCUUACCCACUCAGAGCACCACACUGGAGGCUCUGCUGCGAGGAGAGGGUCUAGACAAGAGGAACGCUAAGAAUGACGAGGAGAGUCUGCUGGAGAUCCAGAGGGUUCUGGAAGCAGACGCAGCAGAAGACGCUUUCAACGAUGAUGACGACUACGAGGUGGACACUCCCAAAAGGAGACAUCGGGGCAAAGGAAGAGGUCGGGGUUCAGGCCGGAGGAGGACAGACCUGGAUGAUGACAAGCCAUACGUCUGUGACAACAGAUACAAACAAAAGCAGAACUCAAAAUCUUCGACCUCAGUCUGUGCAAAGCGCUACAGGAACCGUACAGGACUAAGUUACCACUACACCCAUUCCCACCUGGCAGAGGACAGAGCUGGAGAGAGGAAUACGGUGGCGUCCAGAUCACCCUCUGUACCACAGACUGAAAGACACAAACGUCCAAAGGGUCCAGGUGGGACGAGCAUUCCCAGCAACUACUGUAAUAAAUGCCAGGGCAAGAAAAUGGGUAAAUCUGGGUCUCCCUACUCAGCCUGCCAUUGCACAACUGCCCGCGGAGAAGAGAAGGAAGACGGGACCUUCACAGGAGCUGAGGAGCUUUUCGGCACCACCUCAGAGAGCGACACUUCCACCUUUCACGGCUUUGAGGACGACGAGCUGGAGGAGCCCGCCACAAAUAGCAACGGAAUAACCAAUCGACACAGAUAGAGCGAACCUUUUAGAUUUCAAGAGACAAUAUUUUGUUUUAUAUAUGGAUUAACCUCUGGCAAAAAUUUGCUGCUUCUUUUUCAAUGUUUUUUUGUUUGCAGAAAGCACAAAGUGAUAAUUUCAGGACAUAAAUGCAAGUGGUAUUUUAUCUACUGAACAUUGUUGAAUAAUUUAUGAACUCCCUUUUUUUAUAUAUAAAUAUAUAUAUUAACUUUUAAGGCAAUGAACAACUCAGUGUUUGUUGACGAGUGACUCGGCCUUCAUGCAAAACAGAAGAUGAUUUUUGGAGUUUUUUCCCCCCCUCACUGGAGCAGAAGAAGCAUAAAUAUGAUGAACAAAAAACACUGGAGAAAUCAGAAAAUUGAACAAGUGAAAUUUUUGAAGACGUGAAUAUUCGUUUGUGGGUUGAUUGAAUGUCGCUGCAGACCCAUACUUGAGCUACAAGAUGUUUUUGAAUCAGCAGUGGCUGAUGCUAUGAAGGCUUCCUCUUCUGCUCUAACUUUGGAUGAAACUUGUAUGAAAAUGAAGGAACCAAUGAAAGGACUGCCACAGGCCACUGGAAGUGUUUGGAUUAAGAAGUCUAUUAACUUAAGUCUUUACAGAUACCGUGUAGUUAUAAAAUGAAAGGAGCACUCAGCACAUUGGCCCAGCGGUGGGGGUGACUAGUGAAGAAGAGGAUUUAACCCUCAGAAACUAAUGAGCCUUCAACUCCCUCCUGGUUUGGGCCUAAAACAACUGACUGAAAUGGACAAACACACGUCCACCUGUUCUAUAGGCCGUGUGGCUUAAUUGAACUGCUCCCUCGACGAUAUGUAUUGAUCCCUUCUCAACAUUUGAUCUGUGACUACAUCCAGCUUCAUUUUAUCCUCUCUGCACUGUGUUGGAGCUCCACUGAACUAUGGGAACACUAAAGGCCAGGCCUUUGGACUGUUUAGUGCCCACCGGGUACAUUUGGGGCCCCCACGGCCUAGUCUGCCCACUCCUGCUCCGUGACUGUGUCUGCUGUGUGAUCCGAUGUGACACUAAGACGUCAUUAUCCUCAUCACUGUGCCAGCCCGCCGCUCUGCACUGGAAACCAGCUCUGACAGCCAUGACCCUCCAACCUGAUUGGACCAGUGACCCUCUGACCCCCAGCCAUAGAGAUGGUGCUCGAAUCCACCACUAUUACAUUCAGACCUCUGGACUACUGUAUUAAUACUCUGACAUGGACGCAAAGGUUUUCUGCUUCUGUCCCUCUGUCUGUUUUGCUAUAUCUCUUCUGCCUCUCUCCUCUCUAUUGGGUCGCAGUAAUUGAGCUCUUUUUUUCAUCUUUUCUCUGUUGUAUAAUAUUUCUAUGUUUUGAACUCUUUCAAGUUUGAUUAGAAUGACUUCUUGGGUUUGUUCAGACUGUAUUGAUACCUCUGUCCUGAUCAGGUGCACAAUAGCCACAACUACUCAGGCAUCUUUCAUUUCCUCUGCUGUUGAUUGUUCAGCCAUUCAGCCCUGAUUCAUGUGAUUGUAUUCAGUUGGCAAGGAGGGACAGUAACGCCACACAAGGAUCCCAUUAUAAUCAACUACCAGGAGGGAUCCGGGACGCCGCAGUCUCGUGCUAUAGGAAAAAGAAUAACAAGCUUCACCUCUCUGUCUCUGUGCUGAAUUUACCCGGUGUCACGCUCGCCAUCCACUUUUUGCCUAAAAUCUACAGCCUCAGUAGAUUUUGCCGAGAGUGAGAUUCAUCUCAGAUGCAAUUAAAAAACAAUAUAGUUGCUACAGAUAAAUAAACUCCUCAGAUCUACGUACUUACUGAGAAGUGAAAACUGUAUAAACCCAGUUAUGUGACAUCUCUGUUGAAUGCUUUUUCGAGGGCCCAUUUGCUUUGACAUUUAGAAGGUGCUUUAAGUACUGUAAAAAAAGCCUUUUAGUUCUAUAGGUUGCACAUGCUGCAUAAGAGGUCCACAUCCUUCCAUGUAAUUAUUCAGUAUCACUGCAAUGUAAUGAUAGCUGCUCCGUUUUUGAAGCUAACCAUUAAUCCUAUGUGUUUGUUUUUGACUUUCUUGUGCAUUCAAACCAACGUUCUUCACUUCCCUCAGGGACCCUCCACAUCGCAGUUUUAUCUCCUCUGGACAACCAGAGGAUCUGAGACCUGUCAGUUGUCUCGUCUUCAUCUUUCCACAUCGCAGUUUUAUCUCCUCUGGACAAACAGAGGAUCUGAGACCUGUCUCGUCUUCGUCUCUUGUGUCGGUUACAUGGCGUUUCUACAGUUACAACUGUGUCUUCUAUCCUCUAAAGUCACGCCAGUAAGUGAAAAGCAUGAUGUGUCAUCAGUCAUAACUUGCUCAAUGUUGUACAAACAGGCCUCGUGUGGUGCAGUUCUGAACAAAGAGGAGAAGCUCUGAAAUGCAAACGUAAGCGAUGUCCGUUUCAAAUAACGUGUCACCAAUCAUUGAAUAGCCUGUAUACCUCGUCAAAAGACACAGCAAUAGGUCCCGGUGCUCCCCUGUCAACCCUGCCAGGGGCGGAGAGGGAGGAUCGGGGUGGGAACGGAGCCAAGAGGAGAUGAAAUGGACAUGACUGGGCAUUUGUCUCAUCUUCAGCUAUAAAUACAAGGCGAACUGGAGAGAAUGAAGAAGUCUUCGUUUGUUAAACUAUUUUUAUUGUUCUGAGAAAAAUAAAGAA